CCUGUGAAGGUGUACUGUGAGGUAUGCUGGAGGUAUCAGAAGUGCGAAUGCUGACAUAAGUAACGAUAAAGCGGGUGAAAAGCCCGCUCGCCGGAAGACCAAGGGUUCCUGUCCAACGUUAAUCGGGGCAGGGUGAGUCGACCCCUAAGGCGAGGCCGAAAGGCGUAGUCGAUGGGAAACAGGUUAAUAUUCCUGUACUUGGUGUUACUGCGAAGGGGGGACGGAGAAGGCUAUGUUGGCCGGGCGACGGUUGUCCCGGUUUAAGCGUGUAGGCUGGUUUUCCAGGCAAAUCCGGAAAAUCAAGGCUGAGGCGUGAUGACGAGGCACUACGGUGCUGAAGCAACAAAUGCCCUGCUUCCAGGAAAAGCCUCUAAGCAUCAGGUAACAUCAAAUCGUACCCCAAACCGACACAGGUGGUCAGGUAGAGAAUACCAAGGCGCUUGAGAGAACUCGGGUGAAGGAACUAGGCAAAAUGGUGCCGUAACUUCGGGAGAAGGCACGCUGAUAUGUAGGUGAAGCGACUUGCUCGUGGAGCUGAAAUCAGUCGAAGAUACCAGCUGGCUGCAACUGUUUAUUAAAAACACAGCACUGUGCAAACACGAAAGUGGACGUAUACGGUGUGACGCCUGCCCGGUGC
rnacentral:rRNA from 1 species